rnacentral:rRNA from 1 species
CCUACGGGGAGCUGCAGUGGGGAAUAUUGGACAAUGGGCGAAAGCCUGAUCCAGCCAUGCCGCGUGUGUGAAGAAGGCCUUCGGGUUGUAAAGCACUUUCAGUGGGGAAGAAAGCCUCGGGGCUAAUACCCUCGAGGAAGGACAUCACCCACAGAAGAAGCACCGGCUAACUCCGUGCCAGCAGCCGCGGUAAUACGGAGGGUGCGAGCGUUAAUCGGAAUUACUGGGCGUAAAGCGCGCGUAGGCGGUCUGAUAAGCCGGUUGUGAAAGCCCCGGGCUCAACCUGGGAACGGCAUCCGGAACUGUCAGGCUAGAGUGCAGGAGAGGAAGGUAGAAUUCCCGGUGUAGCGGUGAAAUGCGUAGAGAUCGGGAGGAAUACCAGUGGCGAAGGCGGCCUUCUGGACUGACACUGACGCUGAGGUGCGAAAGCGUGGGUAGCAAACAGGAUUAGAUACCCCGGUAGUC